GCAGAGUAUUGAACCUUGAACAUGUUUCCUUUCCGAUGAGGAUACGCCGUGGCGUUGGCCGGAAUCCUGUCCAUCACUCCACCGUAAGUGUUCAUUUGCAUCCACACAGUGUGUUUGAAUUCAAACAUUUUUUUCCAGAGCUUCUCGAACCCUUCUUUAGGGAUAGGUUUCUUGACGUAAUCAGAUUUGCUUUUGAAGAAUCCUGGAUUCGUAGGUCUUUCUAGAAGAACGCUCGGUGGUGUUCCUUCAGGGUAAUCAGCCCAAAACAGCGUCGUUUCGAACCAGCUCAUUUCGUGACAAUCUUCACGUUUUAGCCCUAACCCAGGCAAGUUCUUGUUUAGUAACGCCAUCAGCUUGUCGGCUCGACCCAAGAACUGAGCGUAGAACACAACCGCGAUGGUUCUCUCGCCAUGUUUUGUUCCGUUUACGACCUGAGGCCAUGCUCUAAUGAAAAGAUCUUCAGGGAACUUGGUGGAGACAAGCUGCCACUUGUAGAGAACAUCAGUGCCUCCUUGUUCCAAUGUUUUGUUAACCCUAAACACUGUCAUGAUCUUUGGAACUUCCACGAGGUUAAUUUUCCAAGAGAGGAUAACUCCGAAGCUUGCACCCCCACCUCCACGGAUAGCCCAAAAGAGAUCUUCUCCCAUGGUAGCUCGGUUCAAGAGCUUGCCGUUGACAUCAACUAAUAGAGCAUCAACGACAUGAUCCACAGUGAUUCCAUAUUUUCUUAUGAGAUUACCGUACCCUCCACCGCUUAUGUGCCCUCCUGCUCCUACCGUAGGGCACACGCCAGCUGGGAACGCUAGCGUUUUGCUUGCGUCUUUGAUCUUUACGUAGAGCUCUCCCAAGGUGGCACCAGCUUGAACCCAAGCUUUCUUGCGUGGCACGUCAAUGGUAAUUGACCUAAGAUUGUGCAUAUCAAGAAUGACAAAUGGAACAGAGGAUAUGUAAGAAAGGGCUUCGAGGUCAUGACCGCCACUUCGGGUACGGAGUUGUAUACCGUUGGUCUUUGCGCAGACCACGGUGGCUUGAACAUGAGAUACAUGUUCUGCCACCACGAUGCAGGGCCGUCCCUGAGAUGCUGGGGGCCUAAAACAAUUUAGUAAGGGUUUUAUAAAAAAAAAUUUUUUUACAAAUUUAGGGGCCCCUUCUUAUGUAAAUUUUUUAAAAAAAUUUGGGGGCCCUAAGCCGGUGUUUCAGUCCGCUGUGCCCAGGACCGCCCCUGCCACGAUGGCUAGUAGGUUUUGGUUAGGGCUCGAGUACCUCUUGUUUUUCGUGUAGGACAAGUAAGAAGACAAGAAGGUGGUGGUGUUAUCGGGGGUGAAGAUGGCAUCGGUGACUGGAUUCUUCGGACUAGUCCGAUAGUGAAGGCAUUCGAUAAAGUUUGCAGAGUUCGGUUUUGCUAUUGCUACUUCUAAAACCGAAACCAAAAGAACAAGACACAAAACAGAGAUUGUAUCCUUCAUUUUUCUCUCUCGAUAGAUAUGUCAUAUGUCUCUAUUAGGAUUUUAGCUUAUAAAACAAAAAAAAUCUAGUGAGAAAAAUAAAUUUAAAAUUGACUCUUGUGUCGUCAUAUCGGUUGACUUUGAAUUUUCUUAUUCUUUUGGUUAAAGACUUUGAAAUUUCUUUUCUAAAAUUUCUUUUCUAAACAUUUAUUACAGAGGAAUCGUUCUCAUGAAAGGGAUAGCAGGGAUUGAGUCGCAUCUGUCCAGCUUUAUGUUACAUUUUAUAUACAUCUAAACAUGUAUUGCAAAUGUUAACAAGUGGAAGAAAGUUGAAUACAGAGUCACUAAUGGAAACGUAAACGUAAGAUCUUCAUCACUUGUAUUAUCUUAUUGAAGAAAAAUGAUUAUAUAUGGUUGAUUUUUAUGUAAAAUAUGUUUCUUGAAUGCAUUGUAUUUGCUCUUCUUAUCCAAUACCUGUUUUUUUUCUCCCUUUUUGAAUUCAAGUUAUAAUACGUUACGUUUCUGUUGUUGUAAAUUAUAAAACGG
rnacentral:lncRNA from 1 species